CUGGCCCCACCCCACUCCAUUCCAUUCCUGCCCCCCACCUCCAUCCCACCAACCGCCACUUUACCCACCAUUCCCCCAUCCCCUCUCCCUGCUCCUAUUCCUGAAGCCCUCUGGUGCUUGUGUCCUGAGAUCCUGAGGGUGUCCCCAUGUGCUCUCCUGUCCUGAAGCAGACGUGGACAGUGGAAGCUACUUCUUCUAAGUGGGCUGAUCUCAUGGCCAUGGUAACAGGCACGUGCCUAGGUCCAGACAGAAAGACCUGGCAGCAACCUCAGGUUCAUCUUCAGCCCUCUUUUCAAGUUUGAUCUCACCCACCCGUGGCCACUGCACACUGUGUCCUGAAGGUCAGUUGCUGCCCAAAGUGCCAGGAGAUUUCAUGUCUACUGAAGGGCUCACUCUCUGCUCCAAAAAAUUGAUUCUACCAUGAGGAAAAGAAGGAACACUGGAAAUCACAUGGCAGGAGAAUGGAAGCUUUUCCAAAAAUUGUGAUGAAGCAGGCAGGGACAAGAAAAGGGGCCUUAUUAAAUGCCACUGGACCUUCCUCAAAGAGUUCCAUAGCCGGUCAAGGCCCAGCCACUGGAGAGGAACUCGGAAGUCACCGAGAAGCUGCAACUUGAGCGGCACCCCGCAAAGGUUGCUCCUAACAUUAUUCCCAGGGAUGGAAUAUACAUCCUUCAAACUACAAGGAACUCAAUUAUGCCCUGUACUUUUUGCUUUUCCAAGUGUGAGAUCAAGGUAAAUGCCAAUGAAUAUGGAUAUAGAUUUAGAUAUAGAUGAUUACAUGGAAGAAACAUAUUAAAUAUCA
rnacentral:lncRNA from 1 species